rnacentral:rRNA from 1 species
GACGAACGCUGGCGGCGUGCCUAAUACAUGCAAGUAGAACGCUGAAGGAGUAGCUUGCUUCUCUGGAUGAGUUGCGAACGGGUGAGUAACGCGUAGGUAACCUGCCUGGUAGCGGGGGAUAACUAUUGGAAACGAUAGCUAAUACCGCAUAAUAUUGACUAUUGCAUGAUAGUCAGUUGAAAGGUGCAACUGCACCACUACCAGAUGGACCUGCGUUGUAUUAGCUAGUUGGUGGGGUAACGGCUCACCAAGGCGACGAUACAUAGCCGACCUGAGAGGGGGAUCGGCCACCCUGGGACUGGGACACGGCCCAGACUCCUACGGGAGGCAGCAGUAGGGAAUCUUCGGCAAUGGACGGAAGUCUGACCGAGCAACGCCGCGUGAGUGAAGAAGGUUUUCGGAUCGUAAAGCUCUGUUGUAAGAGAAGAACGAGUGUGAGAGUGGAAAGCUCACACUGUGACGGUAUCUUACCAGAAAGGGACGGCUAACUACGUG